rnacentral:lncRNA from 1 species
UACUAUCAUCUUUUGUAUUUGAUGAUUUUAGUAUUAUGAACUUGCUUUAAUGAAUGAUGUAAAAAAUAUUUACUUUAAACGUCAGAAGUUAUAUUUUGGGAGAAAUGAGAUGUAAAAAAGAAAUGAUGCUGGAAUGUGACAGAACUUGAUUAUAGUUGGAUACAUGUAUGUGAUUUAAAUUUAGUCAUAUUACUUGUAUAUU